rnacentral:rRNA from 1 species
AGCGAACGCUGGCGACAGGCUUAACACAUGCAAGUCGAGCGGGCGUAGCAAUACGUCAGCGGCAGACGGGUGAGUAACGCGUGGGAACGUACCUUUUGGUUCGGAACAACACAGGGAAACUUGUGCUAAUACCGGAUAAGCCCUUACGGGGAAAGAUUUAUCGCCGAAAGAUCGGCCCGCGUCUGAUUAGCUAGUUGGUGAGGUAACGGCUCACCAAGGCGACGAUCAGUAGCUGGUCUGAGAGGAUGAUCAGCCACAUUGGGACUGAGACACGGCCCAAACUCCUACGGGAGGCAGCAGUGGGGAAUAUUAGACAAGGGGGGCAACCCUGACCCAGCCAUGCCGCGUGAGUGAUGAAGGCCCUAGGGUUGUAAAGCUCUUUUGUGCGGGAAGAUAAUGACGGUACCGCAAGAAUAAGCCCCGGCUAACUUCGUG